UUUAUACGUCGAAUUUUGGUCGCGUCGAAUGCAAUUAAGACAAUAGAUAAUAAGCUUCAUUAUGUUUGAAUUGCAUUCGACGCGACCAAAAUUCGACGUAUAAA